UUGCACGCUGGCGGCAUGCCUUACACCUGCCAGUCGCACGGCAGCACGGGUGCUUGCACCUGGUGGCGAGUGGCGAACGGGUGAGUAAUACAUCGGAACAUGUCCUGUAGUGGGGGAUAGCCCGGCGAAAGCCGGAUUAAUACCGCAUACGAUCUACGGAUGAAAGCGGGGGACCUUCGGGCCUCGCGCUAUAGGGUUGGCCGAUGGCUGAUUAGCUAGUUGGUGGGGUAAAGGCCUACCAAGGCGACGAUCAGUAGCUGGUCUGAGAGGACGACCAGCCACACUGGGACUGAGACACGGCCCAGACUCCUACGGGAGGCAGCAGUGGGGAAUUUUGGACAAAGGGCGAAAGCCUGAUCCAGCAAUGCCGCGUGUGUGAAGAAGGCCUUCGGGUUGUAAAGCACUUUUGUCCGGAAAGAAAUCCUUGGCCCUAAUACGGUCGGGGGAUGACGGUACCGGAAGAAUAAGCACCGGCUAACUACGUG
rnacentral:rRNA from 1 species